rnacentral:rRNA from 1 species
GCUACGGGUGGCAGCAGUGAGGAAUAUUGGUCAAUGGGCGCGAGCCUGAACCAGCCAAGUAGCGUGAAGGAUGACUGUCCUACGGGUCGUAAACCUCUUUUAUAAAGGAAUAAAGUGAGGGACGUGUCCCCUUUUGUAUGUACCUUAUGAAUAAGGAUCGGCUAACUCCGUGCCAGCAGCCGCGGUAAUACGGAGGAUCCGAGCGUUAUCCGGAUUUAUUGGGUUUAAAGGGGGCGUAGAUGGGUUGUUAAGUCAGUUGUGAAAGGUUGCGGCUCAACCGUAAAAUUGCAGUUGAUACUGGCAGCCUUGAGUACAUUUGAGGUAGGCGGAAUGCGUGGUGUAGCGGUGAAAUGCUUAGAUAUCGCGAAGAACUCCGAUUGCGAAGGCAGCCUGCUAAGCUGCCACUGACGUUGAUGCUCGAAAGUGUGGGUAUCAAACAGGAUUAGAUACCCGAGUAGUC